GGGCUGGUAGCUCAGCUUGGUAGAGCAUCUGCCUUUUAAGCAGGUGGUCGUGGGUUCAAAGGAUCAUGAGGCAAACUUCAUGAAGCGAAAGUCCCAUCCGGCCCG
rnacentral:tRNA from 2 species